rnacentral:rRNA from 1 species
CAGUAGCCGCGGUAAUACGUAGGGUGCAAGCGUUAAUCGGAAUUACUGGGCGUAAAGCGUGCGCAGGCGGUUAUAUAAGUCAGAUGUGAAAUCCCCGGGCUCAACCUGGGAACUGCAUUUGAGACUGUAUGGCUAGAGUGUGUCAGAGGGGGGUAGAACUCCACGUGUAGCAGUGAAAUGCGUAGAUAUGUGGAGGAAUACCGAUGGCGAAGGCAGCCCCCUGGGCCAAUACUGACGCUCAUGCACGAAAGCGUGGGGAGCAAACAGGAUUAGAUACCCGGGUAGUCCCUGUCUCUUAUAC